CAAAUUCGGCUGCCAUAGACCUUUAGCUCUUGAUGGUUAAAUCAAGCAAGGACUAGAGCAUCAGGCUCUGAUACCACUUGUUGCUCAGAAAUGGAGCCUAAGAGGGGGGUGAAUUGGAUCUUUUUGAAAUUUUAAAAGAUUAGUGCACUAAAAUAAUGUGCAAAAGAGAUCGAGUGAAGUGGGUUGAUAUUCAAUAAAAAUAAAUUCAAACACAAAAGAAGAAAUGCAAGUAAAUGGCAUAAAGAACAAGUAAUAAGAAGUAAGCACAGUAAACACAAGAAUUUAUAGUGGUUCGGUGCUAACCUUGCACCUACAUCCACUCCUCAAAUCCCUACUUGAAUUCAAUUCACUAAAUGGAUUCAAAGUUACAACACGUCGAACACUCCGACCUUUACUAUCCAAGCAAGAAUACUUAUUUAUCGGAUACAAGCCAAUCCUCAACAAUUCGAUUCAAGAU
rnacentral:lncRNA from 1 species